ACAUAGUAUCCUAUUUUUCUGUCUCAUAUGCCUGUACAAAUAUGUGCUAUAUUAGUGUUUCUCUGAUAUAUAAACUCCCAUUGAUUGUCAAAUCUUGGCAUCUUAAUAUCUGUUUUUACAGGCUCAUUCCCAAGUACUUACUAGACACAUUUCCUUUUUUACUUUGGCAUUAGGUUUGUUGUACUUGCAUCUAAAAAAGAAAUCAUGGGCCUUGGAAGCUGGUUGAGCAGUCAAUUGGGUCUAUAACAAAUGUUUAUAGCAUUUACCGUACAAUAAGCAUUGCAAUAUCUGCACUUUGAGAAGAUUUUGCCUUUUAUACAUAUGCGGUUUUCAGUUUCUCAUUUUGCCCUACUGUUAACAUGGGCAAUUGUUUUGUAUAGGUUCUUGCAUUGCUGUAAAAAUGCUUGGUAUAGAUUCAAGAGAGUUAAAUGCUCCCUCCAAGGCAAGUUACCCGAAGGGCCAAUUGGAACGUAAUACAAAGCGCUUGGCAGAUGUCGUCUUAGAUGCUUCAAAUUUUGAGUCAUUCGUUAUGAUAAACUUUGUUCACUGUUAUGUCAUGCAGAGUCUUUAGUUCCAGGAUUUUUGAAUGAAGAUGAUGUACAACUGCUGAGGGAAUACGCUUCAUAAAAAGGAAUUUUAGUGCCAGAAAAGGAAGGUAGGAAGGUAAGACUGAUCUUGUAAAGAUGACAGGAAAGAUGGUAGUAUAUAUUUAAAGACAAUUUAAUCGAUCACUCAAAAUUAAAUGUUGGAAUGUUUCGAAGAUGAUCUAAAUUGACAGAGUAUUAUGUUUUUUUAUUCUGAUAAAGAUAUAACGGUAGAGGUUUG